rnacentral:rRNA from 1 species
GACGAACGCUGGCGGCGUGCUUAACACAUGCAAGUCGAACGAAGUGGCGAACGGGUGAGUAAUACGUGAGAAACCUGCCCUCCUUUUUGGGAUAAGCCUUGGAAAAGGGGCAUAAUACCGAAUAACGGGGGUCUGGCUCGCGGCCUAUCAGCUUGUUGGGGGGGUGAUGGCCUACCAAGGCGGGCACGGGUAGCCGGCCUGAGAGGGGGACCGGCCAAAUGGGGACGGGGAUACGGCCCAGACGCCGCCCGGAGGCAGGAGUGGUGUAGAUUGCACGAUGGGCGAAAGCCUGAUGCAGCGGCGCGUCAUGAGGGAUGAAGGCUUUCGGGUUGUAAACCUCUUUCGCUAUGGAACGGGUAGGUGGAGAAGAAGCGCCGGCUAACUACGUGCCAGCAGCCGCGGUAAUUC